GAGUUUGAUCCUGGCUCAGGAUGAACGCUAGCUACAGGCUUAACACAUGCAAGUCGAGGGGCAUCAGGAAGAAAGCUUGCUUUCUUUGCUGGCGACCGGCGCACGGGUGAGUAACACGUAUCCAACCUGCCCUUUACUCGGGGAUAGCCUUUCGAAAGAAAGAUUAAUACCCGAUAGCAUAAUGAUUCCGCAUGGUUUCAUUAUUAAAGGAUUCCGGUAAAGGAUGGGGAUGCGUUCCAUUAGGUUGUUGGUGAGGUAACGGCCCACCAAGCCUUCGAUGGAUAGGGGUUCUGAGAGGAAGGUCCCCCACAUUGGAACUGAGACACGGUCCAAACUCCUACGGGAGGCAGCAGUGAGGAAUAUUGGUCAAUGGGCGCUAGCCUGAACCAGCCAAGUAGCGUGAAGGAUGAAGGCUCUAUGGGUCGUAAACUUCUUUUAUAUAAGAAUAAAGUGCAGUAUGUAUACUGUUUUGUAUGUAUUAUAUGAAUAAGGAUCGGCUAACUCCGUGCCAGCAGCCGCGGUAAUACGGAGGAUCCGAGCGUUAUCCGGAUUUAUUGGGUUUAAAGGGAGCGUAGGUGGACUGGUAAGUCAGUUGUGAAAGUUUGCGGCUCAACCGUAAAAUUGCAGUUGAUACUGUCAGUCUUGAGUACAGUAGAGGUGGGCGGAAUUCGUGGUGUAGCGGUGAAAUGCUUAGAUAUCACGAAGAACUCCGAUUGCGAAGGCAGCUCACUGGACUGCAACUGACACUGAUGCUCGAAAGUGUGGGUAUCAAACAGGAUUAGAUACCCUGGUAGUCCACACAGUAAACGAUGAAUACUCGCUGUUUGCGAUAUACAGUAAGCGGCCAAGCGAAAGCAUUAAGUAUUCCACCUGGGGAGUACGCCGGCAACGGUGAAACUCAAAGGAAUUGACGGGGGCCCGCACAAGCGGAGGAACAUGUGGUUUAAUUCGAUGAUACGCGAGGAACCUUACCCGGGCUUAAAUUGCAGUGGAAUGAUGUGGAAACAUGUCAGUGAGCAAUCACCGCUGUGAAGGUGCUGCAUGGUUGUCGUCAGCUCGUGCCGUGAGGUGUCGGCUUAAGUGCCAUAACGAGCGCAACCCUUAUCUUCAGUUACUAACAGGUUAUGCUGAGGACUCUGGAGAGACUGCCGUCGUAAGAUGUGAGGAAGGUGGGGAUGACGUCAAAUCAGCACGGCCCUUACGUCCGGGGCUACACACGUGUUACAAUGGGGGGUACAGAAGGCAGCUAGCGGGUGACCGUAUGCUAAUCCCGAAAGCCUCUCUCAGUUCGGAUCGAAGUCUGCAACCCGACUUCGUGAAGCUGGAUUCGCUAGUAAUCGCGCAUCAGCCACGGCGCGGUGAAUACGUUCCCGGGCCUUGUACACACCGCCCGUCAAGCCAUGGGAGCCGGGGGUACCUGAAGUACGUAACCGCAAGGAUCGUCCUAGGGUAAAACUGGUGACUGGGGCUAAGUCGUAACAAGGUAGCCGUACCGGAAGGUGCGGCUGGAACACC
rnacentral:rRNA from 2 species